AUGGAAGAAUUCAAAACAAAUAUUGAGAUAGAAGAACAAAUGAGAGGAGACUCUUUCAAUUGGAGGAAAAGCAUUCCAAAACAUAAAAAGAGUUUUGGAGGAGGAAAAUUAGGUGGAUAUGGCUCUGGUGGAUCGAGUCCAGGAAGUAAUGGUGGUGAAGGAGGUGCACAGAAUAUAGUUGAACAAAAUGGAGAUGAAAAAGACAAAGAAAGUGAACUUGAAUGA